UGCAAGUCCGAACGAUGAAGAGCAGCUUGCUGCUUGGAUUAGUGGCGCACGGGUGAGUAAUAUAUAGGUAAUGUGCCUCUUAGUCUGGGAUAGCCAUUGGAAACGAUGAUUAAUACUGGAUACUCCUUCUAACUCUAAUGUUAGUCGGGAAAGUUUUUCGCUAAGAGAUCAGCCUAUAUCCCAUCAGUUAGUUGGUAAGGUAACGGCUUACCAAGGCAAUGACGGGUAGCGGGUUUGAGAGGAUGAUCCGCCACACUGGUACUGAGACACGGACCAGACUCCUACGGGAGGCAGCAGUGAGGAAUAUUGCACAAUGGGGGAAACCCUGAUGCAGCAACGCCGCGUGGAGGAUGACGCAUUUCGGUGUGUAAACUCCUUUUAUAUGUCAAGAAAAUGACGGUAGCAUAUGAAUAAGCACCGGCUAACUCCGUGCCAGCAGCCGCGGUAAUACGGAGGGUGCAAGCGUUACUCGGAAUCACUGGGCGUAAAGGACGCGUAGGCGGAUUGGAAAGUCAGAUGUGAAAUCCUACAGCUUAACUGUAGAACUGCAUUUGAAACUUCUAAUCUAGAGUAUGGGAGGGGGAGAUGGAAUUAGUGGUGUAGGGGUAAAAUCCGUAGAUAUCACUAGGAAUACCGAAAGCGAAGGCGAUCUCCUGGAACAUUACUGACGCUAAGGCGUGAAAGCGUGGGGAGCAAACAGGAUUAGAUACCCUGGUAGUCCACGCCCUAAACGAUGAACACUAGUCGUCGGGAUGCUUGUCAUCUCGGUGAUGCACUUAACAGAUUAAGUGUUCCGCCUGGGGAGUACGG
rnacentral:rRNA from 1 species